rnacentral:rRNA from 1 species
UACGGGAUGCCUUAGUACGGCGAGUGAAGCGGCAAAAGCUCAAAUUUGAAAUCUGGUACCUUCGGUGCCCGAGUUGUAAUUUGGAGAGGGCAACUUUGGGGCCGUUCCUUGUCUAUGUUCCUUGGAACAGGACGUCAUAGAGGGUGAGAAUCCCGUGUGGCGAGGAGUGCGGUUCUUUGUAAAGUGCCUUCGAAGAGUCGAGUUGUUUGGGAAUGCAGCUCUAAGUGGGUGGUAAAUUCCAUCUAAAGCUAAAUAUUGGCGAGAGACCGAUAGCGAACAAGUACAGUGAUGGAAAGAUGAAAAGAACUUUGAAAAGAGAGUGAAAAAGUACGUGAAAUUGUUGAAAGGGAAGGGCAUUUGAUCAGACAUGGUGUUUUGUGCCCUCUGCUCCUUGUGGGUAGGGGAAUCUCGCAUUUCACUGGGCCAGCAUCAGUUUUGGUGGCAGGAUAAAUCCAUAGGAAUGUAGCUUGCCUCGGUAAGUAUUAUAGCCUGUGGGAAUACUGCCAGCUGGGACUGAGGACUGCGACGUAAGUCAAGGAUGCUGGCAUAAUGGUUAUAUGCCGCCCGUCUGAAAACCGGGACCCAAAAAAGCCAAAAAAAAAGAAAAAAA